GCCAGUGUGGCGUAAUGGUUAGAGUGUCGGACUAGGACCUGGGAGAACAGGGUUCAAAUCCCUGCUCAGCCA
rnacentral:tRNA from 1 species